GCGAAGCCUGAUCCAGCCAUGCCGCGUGUGUGAAGAAGGUCUUCGGAUUGUAAAGCACUUUAAGUUGGGAGGAAGGGCAGUUACCUAAUACGUGAUUGUUUUGACGUUACCGACAGAAUAAGCACCGGCUAACUCUGUGCCAGCAGCCGCGGUAAUA
rnacentral:rRNA from 1 species